UUUUGAACACAACUGAAUCGCAGUCAUGGUGCUUCAAUGCGUGUGCUGCUGCUGGCUCAUCAAAACGGCCUCUUUCUAACGUGUUGAACGGAACAAAGAUCGAGCUGAAAGAGAUUUGGACUGAACUGGAACCGUUUGACCGAUUUAAUUUGUCAAGCAGAUCUCUGGAUCUUCAACCAGCCGCCAUAUGCAGACGUGCUGACAGUGCAAAAGCAGACUGCACUUCCCGCUGCGAGAGGAUGCUUCAGUGGUGAGAUAUCAUCACACACACAUGCAAGGAUUAUCCAUGGUUUCUUGUCACAUAACUUGUCCAGGAUGGCAUCUACCUACUUUUUGGGCUGCUUCUACCGAAAUGCUGUACAGUUUGAUUGGAUGCACAGCUUUUUGGACAACCACUGAUCUGCGUAUCGCAAUAACGAGCUACAGCAAACUGUGUGUGAAUGUGAACACUUACCAGAACCAGUACCAGUAGGACUUGUUGCCUCUCCUCUCUCUGGCCUCCUCAGCCUACCACUGGUGGACCUCGCAAUGCCUGUCAACACAGAAGACAUAACAGAAACACUUUUCAGAAUAAUCUGAUUGUAGGAGUAAGGAUAUAGAGCAAGAUGUAUAGGACACAGUGUCCAGAAUAAAUGGAGCAGAUGUGUUGGAAACAGACAUCAGAGAAAUGAAGCUCGGCCCACUCAGUUAUGUGCCGCAUGUGUUUGUAAAAUCAAGUCAGAUGGGUCACAAACACAGAGACAGAUCAAACGCUGCUUCCUUUGAAAUCUGUGCUGCCAUUAAAACCUUUAAGAUCACCAGGAGGUGUUUAAGUAUCAGACAACAUACAAGAAAAGUAAUUCAGUUUGGAGCUUUGCAAAGUGACAAUGUUUAAAUCUCACGAUAGUGAGAUACAGGGAUGACUCUAAAGGUCAAACUAAAAAGACCAAACAGAAGUCCCCUGUUUGCAUAGGUUCGGACUGCGAUGUAGGUCAUGCUGUAUGUCUUGACAGAUGCUACUGAAAAAUGUGAUCACAUAAAAAACAAAGAUCAAACAAGCUGCAUGUCUUUCCACAGAUGGGCAUCAACUCACAAAAGAGUGUUUAGAUGAUUUUUCAUAAAAUUAUUAAACUUCCAAAUUAAAAUGUAAGAUUUUCUAUUCUAUUUUAAUGAUAAUUAAGUAAUUUUUAGCUCCUAAUUCUCAAAAACUGUAAUCGUCAAUUGAAAUUAUAAUACCACUUGUUAUAAUGCCUUUAAUUUAUCCUGAAUGAAUUUAUCUUGGGAAAAAAAUCCAAAGUGAAAGGUCAUGAUGCAUUAUGGUCUUGGAUUAAUUCCCAUGGAAAUAAUAUCACUGACACAAAUCAGGCCUCCGCCACCGGAGGGCACCCUCCCCUGAGUACUAGCAUUCAUGGACUUCAUUUCCCAUACACCCCGUGCCUGGGACUGAUUACUGGCACAGAUGUUUCCCCUUAGCCUUCCUAUUUAAACUGCAUCAGGACUCUUACUUUUCGCGAAGUCUUGUUUUGCCGUGGCUAACAUUUCUGAGCAUUUAUUCCGUGUCUGUUUGAUCUUUCGUGUGUUAUCUUGGACUGUUCAUCCUAUUGUGAUUCUCUGCCACCUGCCCUUGUGACUUUAUUGUUGGAUUAGACUAUCUGUGCCUUGUUUGCCACCUGCCCCAACCCUCGCUCUGUUACUGUUUGCUCUUCUGGGUUGUCUCUGUUGUUCCUGACACCAUUGAUUGAUUACUGCCUGUUUGACUCUGCUAUUAUUUUAUUAAAGCUGCAAAUGGAUCUGCACACCUCUGUUACAGUCAGAACUCGCCUGCCGUGAUGAGGGGAAGACUCUCAAACAAUUCAUUGAUCUCUCCAUUCGCAAUGAUAAUUUAAUGCAUGCACGACGUGCCCCUCAUUACAUUCCUUUGCAUACUCAAGCAGUCACAGUUUCCUCCGAAUCCGAACCCAUGCAGAUUCGUUUCACUCGCUUCACAAAUGAAGAAAGAGAGAGAAGAAUUCGUAAUCUUCUGUCUCUACUGUGGUCUAUCCGGCCAUCUGUGAGCCUCCUGUCCUACUCGUCCUGCCGCUCUAGCUCCUCUAUGGUGAGUUCCAAUCCUGAUUCUAUUAACAGUCUAGAAGUUCCCAUUGCUCUAAUGUUUAAUGGAAAAUGUAUGGAGACCAUAGCGUUGAUAGAUUUGGGGGCUGCGGGAAAUUUCAUUGACAAAGUUUGCCAAUACUCAUAAUCUCCCUCUCAUUCCAUGUGAAUCCUGGGUGUCAGUGGCAGCCUUGGAUGGACGUCCUUUGGGCACAGGACAGGUCAAGUUCAUCACCAAGGAUCCGCAUCUCCGAACUGGCAUACUUCACAACGAAACCAUCCGCCUGUUCGGCAUUGAAUCUCCUCAGAAUCCUAUCAUUCUUGGUCUGCCUUGGCUAGAGAAACACAACCCCAGAAUUUCAUGGACAACUAAAUGGAUUCAACAAUGGUCUGACUCCUGCCAACAGAACUGUUUGCUCACUAACCUAUCGCACUCCUCUCCACGACCAGCCCAGAUAACAGAGAAUUCACCUGUUCCAGGAUUACCCUCUGAAUACCAUGACCUCGUUGAAGCUUUCAGUAAGACCAAGGCCUCACAACUUCCUCCUCACUGACUACGUGACUGCGGUAUCAAUAUUCUUCCAGGAUCAAGCCCAUCUAGAGACAGAGUUUUCCCACUACCACAACCAGAAUCUGAGGCUAUGAAGGCAUAUAUUGAGGAGGAGCUGUCAAAGGGGUUCAUUAGACCAUCCACCUCUCCUGCAUCAGCUGGCUUCUUUGUCAAGAAAAAAGAUGGAGGUCUCCGACCAUGCAUUGAUUACCACAAUGAUAUGCCAAAUUCCGUUACCCUCUACCUCUAGUCCCAGCAGCUCUAGAGAAACUUUGCACUGCUAAAUAUUUCACCAAGCUCGACCUACGCAGUUCCUACAAUCUGAUUCACAUUCGUAAGGGAGAUGAGUGGAAGAUGGCUUUAUCGACAACAUCAGGGCACUAUGAAUAUCUCGUUAUGCCGUUCGGCUUGGUCAACAGUCCUUCAGUCUUCCAAGCUUUCAUUAACAAUGUUUUCCGUGACAUGCUGAACCGAUUGGUCAUAGUCUAUAUUGAUGACAUCUUGAUUUAUUCUUGGGCUUUGCAAAUUUCUAUAGACGUUUCAUUUGUGACUUCAGCGUCAUUGCAGCACAUCUCACCUCCAUGCUAAGAGGAAACAAACAACGUUUACUCUGGUCACCAUCUGCCACCAUGACAUUCCAACAGCUAAAGGAACGUUUCACCUCCACGCCCAUUCUUCACCAUCCUGACCCAGAAUUAGAGUUCUUCGUGGAGGUGGAUGCAUUCAACACAGGCAUUAGAGCCAUACUCUCUUAGCGUGAGGGAAAUCCUCCCAAACUCUUCCCCUGUGCCUUCUAUUCUCAGAAACUCAACUCUAUUGAGCAGAGCUAUGAUGUAGGAGAUCGGAAACUUCUAGCCAUGAAAGCAGCCUUUAAGGAGUGGCGUCACUGGUUGGAGGGGGCCAAACUCCCAUUUGUUGUU